rnacentral:lncRNA from 1 species
UUUCUUCACCAAAUUUGAUUCGUUUUGCUGUACAAUAACAACGUUUUACUAAUUUUGCGAUGGUGGAAGGGGUUAGCAAGUUAAAGAGUAUCGUUUACAUUCUACUUUCUGGAAUCUAUUUUUAUUCUACUUUCAGUUUCUCCUUUUCAAUAUGACACAUCUUAUUUUUGUUUUGAACUUCCACUCUUAUCUUUUAGCUUGGCAAUGAACUAGUACUGUACAUUUGUUUAGUUUAAGAUUUUGCCCUUGUCUCUAGCAUGUACUUUUUUUCUCAUGUUAUGUUAGGUAUCUUGAGUGCUAACAAUUUUGUACAUAAAUGACCAACACUUUAUUAUUAUGAAUGAUUUGUUGAUCCAUUCUUUGGUGGUUAUUAAUCUCUCUACGUGGGUGUCGGCUCUACGAUUAACCCAUCUUUCAUGGUAGUUGUCGGUUCCGAAGUCAGUCGGUUGUCCUUACAAAAAUUUGAGAAUUAAUGCAAUUAUAUUGUCUUUAAUUAAUUUACUAUUUUAAGUAAAU